rnacentral:lncRNA from 1 species
ACACAGGCAAACGAUGAUGUAAGUUACUUCAACAUUUUUUGCUUCUGGCUGUUAGUUGGUGUGGGAGGGGCAAAUUACCUGUUACUGUGGGUGUUCUUGCCACAGGGACGGUUACAGUAGCUUCGGCCUCCAUCCCAUGCACAGCCUCCCUCCGCCUUCAUGGGCCUCCCCGUCAUGCAGGGUGCAGGUUGUGGUGCUCCGGAGGCUUGGCUGAGCAGGGAAAUGCUGUUGUCUGCUACCUGGUGAGCCCGGGGGAAAGGCCACCAAGCAGAGUGUCCUACCACAAGUAUGCUGCCCGUGACUUGCUGUUUGCAGCAGCCACAAGACCGAGAGGAAAAAAGAGUUUGUUAAAAGAAAGUUGUAUCUGCCUAUCUGCCCAACCAACCACACUUCUACCCCACAGUUAUUCGCAUGUAAUUAUUUUUAAAUGUAAGCCUGGCUCCACUUUAGGGGUUAUUGAGUUAAAUAAAAAAACUUUUUUUUUUUUAAAGUAAUCCCUCAAGUGUCUUUUUCUCCAUGCCACACCAUCUUAGAAGACCCAUAUUUGUGUUUAACAAGUGCAGCACCUCUCAAGCAGUCGUCGGGCACCAGAUACAGGCUUGCAACCUCUUCUACUUUGCAAAACAGGGGACUUGACCUUGUUUGGCCUGGCGGGUGCCAUCCUUGCACACAAACAUGAACCACGCCACCAAGCCCGGUUGGCCAGCUGGCCUCACCAGGGCAGAAAUCAGGGCAGGAGCCGUGCAGCAGGGCAGGCAGCAAGCCAGAGCCACAGGGCCAGUGCCCUGUGGUUGCGUGAAGGGGGCUCAUGUCACCUGGGCAAACAGGGAUGACGGAAACGUGUCUGUGAAAGCUUUGCGUUCAGUUGGUCUGUGAGAACAAAGAGCUCUGAAGGACAUCAUAGUAAACACUGCCAAAACUCUUUUCCACUUCGGUGCAAAUUUUCUGUUUCAAACCAUGCCUACCAGCCUGUUGGUAGAUGUGCAGGAAUGGUACCGCAUGUGGCCUGGUGGAGGCAGGGCUGGGGCUGGGGCAGGGGCAUCCGAUCGCCCGCACCCGCACGACCCCCUCGCACUUUCCUCUACCGUCCCCGAUGCCGCGGGAGGUGAGGCUGAGCCUCCCUCGGAGAACAGCGAGCGAGCCGGAGCAGCGGCGUGGAGCCUGCCCGCGGCCCCGGGAGGGAAAGGGUGGAGAGAGCCCGGCGGGAGGGAGCGGGGAGAGGAGGCGAAAGAGUCCAAAGGGGGAAAAAAUGAAAAAAAAAAGUAA